GCGUUUGAAGUCAGUCGCGUCGUCUGGGACUCAGCCUUGCUUCUGCUUGGUGUACUUCCCAGUUGACGGGUCAGCAUCGGUUUCGACCGUGGGAGAAAGGCUUGGGGAAUGUGGCUCUUCGGAGUGUUAUAGCCCCUUGUUGUAUGUCUCGGUUGGGACCGAGGAUCGCAGCGCGCCUUAUGGCCGGGGUUCGCGCCCUCGGUACGCGCUUAGGAUGCUGGCAUAAUGGCUUUAAGCGACCCGUCUUGAAACACGGACCAAGGAGUC
rnacentral:rRNA from 1 species